GGGGAAACGACAUCGAAAGCUUGCUUUGAUGGGCGUCGACCGGCGCACGGGUGAGUAACGCGUAUCCAACCUGCCCACCACUUGGGGAUAACCUUGCGAAAGUAAGACUAAUACCCGAUGAUAUCCCUAGGACGACAUCUGAAACGGGAUUAAAGAUUUAUCGGUGAUGGAUGGGGAUGCGUCUGAUUAGCUUGUGGCGGGUAACGGCCCACCAAGGCGACGAUCAGUAGGGGUUCUGAGAGGAAGGUCCCCCACAUUGGAACUGAGACACGGUCCAAACUCCUACGGGAGGCAGCAGUGAGGAAUAUUGGUCAAUGGGCGAGAGCCUGAACCAGCCAAGUAGCGUGCAGGACGACGGCCCUAUGGGUUGUAAACUGCUUUUAUAAGGGAAUAAAGUGAGUCUCGUGAGGCUUUUUGCAUGUACCUUAUGAAUAAGGACCGGCUAAUUCCGUG
rnacentral:rRNA from 1 species